rnacentral:rRNA from 1 species
AACGAACGCUGGCGGCAGGCCUAACACAUGCAAGUCGAGCGCGCCCUUCGGGGUGAGCGGCGGACGGGUGAGUAACGCGUGGGAACGUGCCCUUCUCUGCGGAAUAGCCUCGGGAAACUGAGAGUAAUACCGCAUACGCCCUUUGGGGGAAAGAUUUAUCGGAGAAGGAUCGGCCCGCGUUGGAUUAGGUAGUUGGUGGGGUAAUGGCUCACCAAGCCGACGAUCCAUAGCUGGUUUGAGAGGAUGAUCAGCCACACUGGGACUGAGACACGGCCCAGACUCCUACGGGAGGCAGCAGUGGGGAAUCUUAGACAAUGGGGGCAACCCUGAUCUAGCCAUGCCGCGUGAGUGAUGAAGGCCUUAGGGUUGUAAAGCUCUUUCAGCUGGGAAGAUAAUGACGGUACCAGCAGAAGAAGCCCCGGCUAACUCCGUGCCAGCCGCCGCAGUAAAAC